GACGAACGCUGGCGGCGUGCUUAACACAUGCAAGUCGAGCGGGGUCCAUCCGGUGGCAACACCGGUGAAGACCUAGCGGCGAACGGGUGAGUAACACGUGAGCAACCUGCCCCGAAGUCUGGGAUAACACCGGGAAACCGGUGCUAAUACUGGAUACCCCCAUCUGGUCGCAUGGCCGGAUGAGGAAAGAUUUAUCGCUUUGGGAGGGGCUCGCGGGCUAUCAGCUUGUUGGUGGGGAACGGCCUACCAAGGCGACGACGGCUAGCUGGUCUGAGAGGACGACCAGCCACACUGGGACUGAGACACGGCCCAGACUCCUACGGGAGGCAGCAGUGGGGAAUCUUGCGCAAUGGGCGAAAGCCUGACGCAGCAACGCCGCGUGGGGGAGUGAAUGUCUUCGGAUUUCGUAAACCCCUUUCAGCAGGGACGAAACUGACGGUACCUGCAGAAGAAGCCCCGGCCAACUACGUGCCAGCAGCCGCGGUAAC
rnacentral:rRNA from 1 species